UAAAGCGCACGCAGGCGGUCUGUCAAGUCGGAUGUGAAAUCCCCGGGCUCAACCUGGGAACUGCAUUCGAAACUGGCAGGCUAGAGUCUUGUAGAGGGGGGGAGAAUUCCAGGUGUAGCGGUGAAAUGCGUAGAGAUCUGGAGGAAUACCGGUGGCGAAGGCGGCCCCCUGGACAAAGACUGACGCUCAGGUGCGAAAGCGUGGGGAGCAAACAGGAUUAGAUACCCUGGUAGUCCACGCCGUAAACGAUGUCGAUUUGGAGGUUGUGCCCUUGAGGCGUGGCUUCCGGAGCUAACGCGUUAAAUCGACCGCCUGGGGAGUACGGCCGCAAGGUUAAAACUCAAAUGAAUUGACGGGGGCCCGCACAAGCGGUGGAGCAUGUGGUUUAAUUCGAUGCAACGCGAAGAACCUUACCUGGUCUUGACAUCCA
rnacentral:rRNA from 1 species